rnacentral:rRNA from 1 species
AUGAACGCUGGCGGCGUGCCUAAUACAUGCAAGUCGCGCGAACAGACGAGGAGCUUGCUCCUCUGACGUUAGCGGCGGACGGGUGAGUAACACGUGGAUAACCUACCUAUAAGACUGGGAUAACUUCGGGAAACCGGAGCUAAUACCGGAUAAUAUAUUGAACCGCAUGGUUCAAUAGUGAAAGACGGUUUUGCUGUCACUUAUAGAUGGAUCCGCGCCGCAUUAGCUAGUUGGUAUGGUAACGGCUUACCAAGGCAACGAUGCGUAGCCGACCUGAGAGGGUGAUCGGCCACACUGGAACUGAGACACGGUCCAGACUCCUACGGGAGGCAGCAGUAGGGAAUCUUCCGCAAUGGGCGAAAGCCUGACGGAGCAACGCCGCGUGAGUGAUGAAGGUCUUCGGAUCGUAAAACUCUGUUAUUAGGGAAGAACAAAUGUGUAAGUAACUAUGCACGUCUUGACGGUACCUAAUCAGAAAGCCACGGCUAACUACGUG